GAUGAACGCUGGCGGCGUGCCUAAUACAUGCAAGUCGAGCGAACAGACGAGGAGCUUGCUCCUCUAACGUUAGCGGCGGACGGGUGAGUAACACGUGGAUAACCUACCUAUAAGACUGGGAUAACUUCGGGAAAACGGAGCUAAUACCGGAUAAUAUAUUGAACCGCAUGGUUCAAUAGUGAAAGACGGUUUUGCUGUCACUUAUAGAUGGAUCCGCGCCGCAUUAGCUAGUUGGUAAGGUAACGGCUUACCAAGGCAACGAUGCGUAGCCGACCUGAGAGGGUGAUCGGCCACACUGGAACUGAGACACGGUCCAGACUCCUACGGGAGGCAGCAGUAGGGAAUCUUCGGCAAUGGGCGAAAGCCUGACGGAGCAACGCCGCGUGAGUGAUGAAGGUCUUCGGAUCGUAAAACUCUGUUAUUAGGGAAGAACAAAUGUGGAAGUAACUAUGCACGUCUUGACGGUACCUAAUCAGAAAGCCACGGCUAACUACGUG
rnacentral:rRNA from 1 species